GACGAACGCUGGCGGCGUGCUUAACACAUGCAAGUCGAACGGAAAGGCCUUUUCGGAGGUACUCGAGUGGCGGACGGGUGAGUAACACGUGGGUGAUCUGCCCUGCACUCUGGGAUAAGCCUGGGAAACUGGGUCUAAUACCGGAUAGGACCGCACUUUAGUGUGUGUGGUGGAAAGUUUUUUCGGUGUAGGAUGAGCCCGCGGCCUAUCAGCUUGUUGGUGGGGUAAUGGCCUACCAAGGCGGCGACGGGUAGCCGGACUGAGAGGUUGGUCGGCCACAUUGGGACUGAGAUACGGCCCAGACUGCGACGGGAGGCAGCAGGGGGGAAGAUUGAACAAUGGGCGCAAGCCUGAUGCAGCGACGCCGCGGGGGGGAUGACGGCCUUCGGGUUGUAAACGCCUUGCGCCAGGGACGAAGCGUUUUGUGACGGUACCUGGAGAAGAAGCACCGGCUAACUACGUG
rnacentral:rRNA from 1 species